rnacentral:rRNA from 1 species
CUCCGGGUGAUCCUGCCGGACCCGACUGCUAUCAGAGUGGGACUAAGCCAUGCGAGUCAACAUAGCAAUAUGUGGCAUACGGCUCAGUAACACGUAGUCAACAUGCCCAGGGGACGUGGAUAACCUCGGGAAACUGAGGAUAAACCGCGAUAGGUCAUCACUUCUGGAAUGGGUAAUGACUUAAAUCUAUAUGGCCCCUGGAUUGGACUGCGGCCGAUCAGGCUGUUGGUGAGGUAAUGGCCCACCAAACCUGUAACCGGUACGGGCUCUGAGAGGAGGAGCCCGGAGAUGGGCACCGAGACAAGGGCCCAGGCCCUAUGGGGCGCAGCAGGCGCGAAACCUCUGCAAUAGGCGAAAGCUUGACAGGGUUACUCCGAGUGAUGCCCGCUAAGGGCAUCUUUUGGCACCUCUAAAAAUGGUGCAGAAUAAGGGGUGGGCAAGUCUGGUGUCAGCCGCCGCGGUAAUACCAGCACCCCGAGUGGUCGGGACGAUUAUUGGGCCUAAAGCAUCCGUAGCUUGUUCUGCAAGUCCUCCGUUAAAUCCACCUGCUCAACAGAUGGGCUGCGGGGGAUACUACAGGGCUAGGAGGCGGGAGAGGCAAACGGUACUCAGUGGGUAGGGGUAAAAUCCUCUGAUCCACUGAAGACCACCAGUGGCGAAGGCGGUUUGCCAGAACGCGCUCGACGGUGAGGGAUGAAAGCUGGGGGAGCAAACCGGAUUAGAUACCCGGGUAGUCCCAGCUGUAAACGAUGCAGACUCGGUGAUGGGUUGGCUUUGAGCCAACCCAGUGCCGCAGGGAAGCCGUUAAGUCUGCCGCCUGGGGAGUACGGUCGCAAGACUGAAACUUAAAGGAAUUUGGCGGGGAGCA